rnacentral:SRP_RNA from 2 species
GCCGGGCGUGGCGGCCUACGCCUGUAGUCCCAGCUACUUGGGAGGCUGAGGCAGGAGAAUUGCUAGAACCUGGGAGGCAGAGGUUGCAGUGAGCCGAGAUCGCGCCACUGCAUUCUAGCUUGGGUGACAGAGUGAGACUCCGUCUCUU